UACGGGACGCAGCAGUGGGGAAUUUUGACAAUGGGGAAACCCUGAUCCAGCCAUCCCGCGUGUGCGAUGAAGGCCUUCGGGUUGUAAAGCACUUUUGGCAGGAGAAGAAAAACGGCACGGGAUAAUACCUCGCGCAACUGACGGUACUGCAGAAUAAGCACCGGCUAACCAUGUGGCCAGCAGCCGCGGUAAUACGUAGGGUGCAAGCGUUAAUCGGAAUUACUGGGCGUAAAGCGUGCGCAGGCGGGUUCGGAAAGAAAGAUGUGAAAUCCCAGAGCUUAACUUUGGAACUGCAUUUUUAACUACCGAGCUGUGAGUGUGUCAGAGGGAGGUGGAAUUCCGCGUGUAGCAGUGAAAUGCGUAGAUAUGCGGAGGGACACUGAUGGCGAAGGCAGCCUCCUGGGAUAACACCAGACGCUCAUGCACGAAACUGCGGGGAGCAAACAGGAUUAGAUACCCCUGUAGU
rnacentral:misc_RNA from 1 species